rnacentral:misc_RNA from 1 species
CGAAGGCGACAAGCCGGACAAGAAGAAGUUCAAGGCCUAUCCGAUCGGCUACUUCCACAUCGACAUUGCCGAAGUCCGCACCGCCGAAGGUAAGCUGUAUCUGUAUGUCGCAAUCGACCGGACCAGCAAAUUUGCCUUCGUACAGCUUGUGAAGAAGACCGGCAGAACAUCCGCGUCCGCCUUCCUGAUGGCGCUGAUCAAAGCUGUUCCUUACAAA